CUGUGAUGCUAGCGUGUAGUGUAGCGGUGUGCCAUGGUAGUGGCUUAAGUGCUUGCUGUCUUGUGGAGCCUAGUGUUUUUUUCAGUCCAGCCUAAUAAUGUUCACAGUUUGUGGAUUCACAGUUUAGGUAUCUUAGGUAUGAUCCACGGCUUGCCGUCUCCAGUUCUCUGCUUCUCUUCCCCCAUGCGCCGGCUCGAACUUGCUUUAGGUGUUGUGUCU